GGCUGAAAUUCGCCUUCAUGAAGCUGGAAUUGCUAGUAAUGGCAGGUCAGCAUACUGCCGUGAAUACGUUCCCGGGCCUUGUACACACCGCCCGUCACACCAUGAGAGUCGAUAACACCCGAAGCCUGUGAGCUAACCGUAAGGAGGCAGCAGUCGAAGGUGGGGUUGAUGAUUGGGGUGAAGUCGUAACAAGGUAAC
rnacentral:rRNA from 1 species